rnacentral:rRNA from 1 species
GACGAACGCUGGCGGCGUGCUUAACACAUGCAAGUCGAACGGUGACGGAGAGCUUGCUCUCCUGAUCAGUGGCGAACGGGUGAGUAACACGUGGGCAACCUGCCCCAGACUUCGGGAUAACGCUUCGAAAGAGGUGCUAAUACCGGAUACGAACUCCUUGGGCAUCCUUGGAGUUGGAAAGUUUUUCGGUCUGGGAUGGGCCCGCGGCCUAUCAGCUUGUUGGUGAGGUAACGGCUCACCAAGGCGACGACGGGUAGCCGGCCUGAGAGGGCGACCGGCCACACUGGGACUGAGACACGGCCCAGACUCCUACGGGAGGCAGCAGUGGGGAAUAUUGCGCAAUGGGCGAAAGCCUGACGCAGCAACGCCGCGUGAGGGAUGACGGCCUUCGGGUUGUAAACCUCUUUCAGCAGGGAAGAAGCGAAAGUGACGGUACCUGCAGAAGAAGCACCGGCUAACUACGUGCCAGCAGCCGCCGUAAGAC